CUGAAACUGCAACCGGUGGAUCACUCGGCUCGUGUGUCGAUGAAGAGUGCAGCUAACUGUGUGAAUUGACGUAAAUCGCAGACUGCUUCGAUCAUUGACUUCUUGAACGCAAAUGGCGGCUACUAGCUUGCUAGUAGCCACGCUUGUCUGAGAGUUG
rnacentral:rRNA from 1 species